UUGUGGACUUGUUGAACGCUC
rnacentral:piRNA from 1 species